rnacentral:rRNA from 1 species
GACGAACGCUGGCGGCGUGCUUAACACAUGCAAGUCGAACGGAAAGGCCCUGCUUGUGUGGGGUGCUCGAGUGGCGAACGGGUGAGUAACACGUGAGUAACCUGCCCUUGACUUUGGGAUAACUUCAGGAAACUGGGGCUACUACCGGAUAGGAGCUCCUGCUGCAUGGUGGGGGUUGGAAAUUUUCGGCGGCUGGGGAUGGACUCGCGGCUUAUCAGCUUGUUGGUGGGGUAGUGGCUUACCAAGGCUGUGGCGGGUAGCCGGCCUGGGAGGGUGACCGGCCACAUUGGGACUGAGAUACGGCCCAGACUCCUACGGGAGGCAGCAGUGGGGAGUAUUGCACAAUGGGCGGAAGCCUGAUGCAGAAACGCCGCGUGCGGGAUGACGGCCUUCGGGUUGUAAACCGCUUUCGCCUGUGACGAAGCGUGAGUGACGGUAAUGGGUAAAGAAGCACCGGCUAACUACGUG